rnacentral:rRNA from 1 species
GACGAACGCUGGCGGCGUGCUUAACACAUGCAAGUCGAACGAAGUGGCAAACGGGUGAGUAACGCGUAAUCAACCUGCCCUUCAGUGGGGGACACCAGUUGGAAACGACUGCUAAUACCGCAUACUGUAGGAGGGGAUUGCGUCUGAUUAGCUAUUUGGAGGGGUAAUGGCCCACCAAGGCGAUGAUCAGUAGCCGGUCGGAGAGGAUGAACGGCCACAUUGGGACUGAGAAACGGCCCAGACUCCUACGGGAGGCAGCAGUGGGGAAUAUUGCGCAAUGGGGGCAACCCUGACGCAGCCAUGCCGCGUGAAGGAAGAAGGCCUUCGGGUUGUAAAGUUCUUUCGGUAGCGAGCGGUAACUACAGAAGAAGCACCGGCUAACUCCGUGCCAGCAGCCGCGGUAAUAC